rnacentral:rRNA from 1 species
GAUGAACGCUGGCGGCGUGCCUAAUACAUGCAAGUCGAGCGAACAGAUGAGGAGCUUGCUCCUCUGACGUUAGCGGCGGACGGGUGAGUAACACGUGGAUAACCUACCUAUAAGACUGGGAUAACUUCGGGAAACCGGAGCUAAUACCGGAUAAUAUAUUGAACCGCAUGGUUCAAUAGUGAAAGACGGUUUGCUUUCACUUAUUGAUGGAUCCGCGCCGCAUUAGCUAGUUGGUAAGGUAACGGCUUACCAAGGCAACGAUGCGUAGCCGACCUGAGAGGGUGAUCGGCCACACUGGAACUGAGACACGGUCCAGACUCCUACGGGAGGCAGCAGUAGGGAAUCUUCCGCAAUGGGCGAAAGCCUGACGGAGCAACGCCGCGUGAGCGAUGAAGGUCUUCGGAUCGUAAAACUCUGUUAUUAGGGAAGAACAAAUGUGUAAGUAACUAUGCACGUCUUGACGGUACCUAAUCAGAAAGCCACGGCUAACUACGUG